rnacentral:rRNA from 1 species
GACGAACGCUGGCGGCGUGCUUAACACAUGCAAGUCGAACGGAAAGGCCCUUCGGGGUACUCGAGUGGCGAACGGGUGAGUAACACGUUGGUGAUCUGCCCUGCACUUUGGGAUAAGCCUGGGACACUGGGUCUAAUACCGAAUAGGACCACGCGCUUCUUGGUGAGUGGUGGAAAGCAUUUGCGGGGUGGGAUGGGCCCGCUGCGUAGCCGCUUGUUGGGGGGGUAAUGGCCUACCAAGGCGACGACGGGUAGCCGGCCUGAGAGGGUGACCGGCCACACUGGGACUGAGAUACGGCCCAGACUCCUACGGGAGGCAGCAGUGGGGAAUAGUGCACAACGGGCGCAAGCAUGAUGCAGCGACGCCGCGUGAGGGAUGACGGCCUUCGGGUUGUAAACCUCUUUCAAUAGGGACGAAGCGAAAGUGACGGUACCUACAGAAGAAGCACCGGCCAACUACGUG